GCAUGGCUGUCGUCAGCUCGUGUCGUGAGAUGUUCGGUUAAGUCCGGCAACGAGCGCAACCCACAUCUUUAGUUGCCAGCAGUUCGGCUGGGCACUCUAGAGAAACUGCCCGUGAUAAGCGGGAGGAAGGUGUGGAUGACGUCAAGUCCUCAUGGCCCUUACGGGUUGGGCUACACACGUGCUACAAUGGUAGUGACAAUGGGUUAAUCCCAAAAAGCUAUCUCAGUUCGGAUUGGGGUCUGCAACUCGACCCCAUGAAGUCGGAAUCGCUAGUAAUCGCGUAACAGCAUGACGCGGUGAAUACGUUCCCGGGCCUUGUACACACCGCCCGUCACACCAUGGGAGUUGGGUUUACCCGAAGGCCGUGCGCCAACCAGCAAUGGGGGCAGCGGACCACGGUGAGCUCAGCGACUGGGGUGAAGUCGAAACAAGGUAGCCGUAGGGGAACCUGCGGCUGGAU
rnacentral:rRNA from 1 species